UCCUUCGAGAGGUGGUCCAAGGCUACGU
rnacentral:sRNA from 1 species